AUUCCCCUGAUGGACACACCUUCAACCAAUAGCUGACGCCGUCUGGCUGAAGCUAAUGACAAACACAGGACAUUAUAACUUUGAAACUAGAAAGCUACUAUCGUCAACCAUUAAUACUGAAAAGAUGUCCCGGGAACAGCUGGCUGUACAGCGGGCCAGGAAGUCCUUCCAGACAGGGAAAAGCAAGCCUCUGGAGUACAGGCUCCACCAGCUGAAGAGCCUGCUCCGCUUCAUCACCGAGAGACGCAGGGACAUUGCAGAUGCUGUCAAAAGGGACCUCGGCAAGAGUGAAAAUGGGACGGAGCUGUUUGAGACCCUGGGACUGGAGGGAGAGAUCAAGCUGGCUGUAGAGAAACUGGCAGAGUGGGCGGCUCCUCGGCCGGUGGAGAAGAACCUGCUCACCAUAACUGAUGAGGUUUACGUGCAGCCGGAGCCUCUGGGGGUGGUGCUCAUCAUCGGGGCCUGGAACUACCCCUGGGCUGUCACCCUGCAGCCACUGGUUGCUGCCAUCGCGGCUGGUAAUGCAGCAAUAAUAAAGCCCUCCGAGGUCAGCUCUCACUCUUCCAAGGUCAUGGAGGAACUUCUCCCUCAGUAUCUAGACAAAGAUCUGUACCCAGUGGUGACGGGUGGAGUUUCAGAGACCCAGGAGCUGCUGAAGCAGAGGUUUGACCACGUCUUCUACACAGGUAGCGGCACCGUGGGUAAAAUAGUGAUGGAGGCCGCGGCUCGCCACCUCACCCCGGUGACCCUGGAGCUGGGAGGGAAGAGCCCCUGCUACAUCGACAAGAACUGUGACAUCAGUAUGGCAUGCCGUCGCAUCACAUGGGGAAAGUUCGUCAACUGUGGCCAGACGUGCAUCGCUCCUGACUUUGUCCUGUGUGAACCCUCCAUCCAGAGCAGAGUGGUAGAAGAGAUCAAGAAAUGUAUCAAGGAGUUCUACACAGAGAAUCCCGAAACCUUUGAGGACUACGGACGCAUCAUCAACCAGCAUCACUUUAAGAGGCUCAUGGGUCUGAUGGAGGGGAACACAGUGGCUGUCGGUGGGGGCAGCGAUGAAUCCCAAUGCUAUAUAGCCCCCACUGUGUUGAAGGAUGUGACGGCGGAGUCCAACGUGAUGAAGGAGGAGAUCUUCGGGCCGCUGCUGCCCAUCAUCACUGUGAGCGGUGUGGACGAGGCCAUCCAAUUUAUCAACGAGAGAGAAAAACCUCUGGUCUUAUACAUCUUCUCCAACGACAACAAGCUGAUCAAAAGAGUGAUAGCAGAGACAUCCAGUGGAGCUCUGCUAGCUAACGAUUGUCUGGUGCACUUCACUGUUAGCGCCCUGCCUUUCGGAGGAGUUGGUAAAAGCGGUAUGGGAUGCUACCACGGCCGGCACGGCUUCAACCAGCUCAGCCACCUGCGCAGCUGUCUGAUCAAGCAGCUGAACAUGGAGGCAUUCAACAACAUGCGCUACCCCCCCCACACAGCCAAAAAGCUGGGCUGGGCGCGCUUCUUUCUGCUCAAGCAGGUGAACGUGGGCCUGCUGCGGCGCAUGGCCCUGCUGGCCGCGCUGGCCGGCUUGGCAGCGUUUGUGGUGCAGGUAAAACAUCUGAAAUACCCCGACCCCGUCCACAGAGGAAUCAAAGGCUUCGCUUUGAUAUCCAUUAUGUAUUGUUCUACGCUUGUGUAGUUUCCUGGAAAUAAUUAUUUGGUAAUUAUUAGCAGGAUGUAAAGGGUUUAUCGCCAUAUGAACAAAAGAUACAGGGUACUUGUUUUCGAUUAAAUCUUAAGUCCCAGCUCUGCCAACCGUACUAUAAAUACUUGAGAGAAAUAAGGAAGUAAAAUAGUGCAAGAAAAGUUAUUGGGAUUAAUACAAUUCUGAAGUCACCUGCAGGAAUAAGUAAACUAUGUAGGGUAGAAUGACAGGAUAACUAAUGUACAGUAAUCAAGAAUACGGUACCACUUUAAAAAUUAGACUACCUUAUAAAGGAUUCAUAAAGGGGUUAUAAUUAGGUUGUUAAUUAGGUUGUAAACACUUCAUUAAGCAUUAAGAACCAUUUAUGAACCAGUUUUAACAUAGUUUUCAUACAUCAACACAGGCUCACUAUUUGGCAAGAUGACUAAGCCUUACAUUGGCUGAUAGCUUACUUCCUCUUCUUCAUCAGCCAGCAUCCUCGGUAUCUGCUGUUCACUGAGUUGAUCCUCCCCCCAUCCAUCUUGAUGUUUUGUUUAUCUUUUCUCUUAUAAAAGCUUAUUAAUGAUUUAUAAAGUGUUCACAACCUAAUUAAUAAAUGAAUUACAAACUAUUUGUAACCCCUUUAUAAGGCUAGUCUUAUUGUACAGUGGUACCAGAUAUACUGUAGAUUACAUUAUUCUGACGUCUCUGUGAUAUUUAGGUCGUUGCGUUCAGUUUAUACAAAGUUUUCCAAAAGGAUUUACCUAAAAGAAGCACUUAAAUGCAAGUUAAUAUGUACUUAUUAUUCAUGCUUUUUUGGCACCUUUAUCCUCUACUUGUUAAAAUGCAAUACGUUCCUGUAGACUAAUUUCCCUCUCUUGCUGUAAGUGAGGAAAAGACCCAAAUUUACACUAAUUAAAUUUGAAUGUACCAAUUAAACAGUCUUGAUCUUUUUCCUUAUAAUAAUUAAAAUAUGAAUUUACAGAUUCAAAUCGGUUCCUUUCUAGGAAACUAUGGUGUGUUAAAAUAAAACAUCACCAUGCUUUACAUUAAGAACAAAAACAUGAAAAAUAUGAAAUUCACAAUAAGCUUCUUUCCAUCAGGAGUGUCAUAAUACCUUACCUUAAAAUCCUUUACCAAUAUGUCCUUUAUUUUUGGACAAAAAGCCCGUCAUACCAUUAAAAACCUGAAACAUCUCUAACAUUAUGGGUUAGCAAUAAACAUGAGACAAAUGGAGACGGUAAGGUUUUGUCAACCUCUGUGUGACCGAUGGCUGCUAAUUUUGCUGCUAGUAAAACUGCACUAUGCAAAUACCUGUAUUAAAGGAUCAGGUAAAACCAGAAAUGUGUUUGUCAGUCUCUUAAAGCUCUCUGGCUUCCAUACUCUCUUUGCCUCACAUUGCUUUCCUACUGAAGUAAAUGUUAUAGUAAUAUUCUUUAAAUCUCGGUAACAAUGAGACAGGCAAUAUAGCUUUCCAGGCACAUAUUAUGAUUAUAUUUUUUUAUGAGCUCAUUUAUUAUCCUAAGAAUAUCUCCCUAAUGACAAAAACUGCUGUAAAAAUGGUAUAUGUUAAUAUUUAUUUUAGCCAAUCUUUUAAAACUGCUUUAGCCUGGAAUAUACACAUCAAACAUUAAUUAUAUUUGGGGGAUUUUAACCCUUUAAAGGCCAGUAUGUUUACAAAACUCUACUGUUUUUUUGAUGAAUGUAAAAUACAUUUCAAGGAGUGUUUGAUUAUAAUUAUUAUUGGGCCCUGAGAUGGGUCAAUGAUUGGCAGCAUCAUUGAUUUUGAUGCAUUGUUAUUUUUCUUGUAGUGGCAGAUUUUAAUAGGUUUAAUUCCCCAAUGGAGCCCGAUAGCACAGAGGAAUGAGAUGUAUAAUGCCUUCAUACACACACAUAACGCUGUCACAUCAAGUCAUUGUAGGUUCUGGUGUUUUUAUGAGAUAUGUUGACACUGAAAAAAUGAAAUAUUGUUUUAAUUCAAGAGGGAUGACAAUCAGGUUUGUUGCAGUUUAAUUCCCUUGGUUUAAAAAAUGGAACACAACAAAAAUAAAUAACAAAUAAAUACAGGAAAUAGAAAAAAGGCAAAAUACCAAAAAUUUAGAAAAUGAAAAUAAAAUAGAAAAACAUUACAUAAAAAAAAAAAAUACUAUGAAGAAAUUUCCGGGUGUGUGUUAGGAUGUGCAGACAUUGAUAGAGGGGUGUGUAAGAGUUCACAGUUAAGAGAAUAUUAUGCGAUUUUUAAAAAUAAUAGUCCAAGAUGUGCGUUAAUGUAAUGCAUAGAGAAUGAUGUCAGGGGAGGGGUUUGUGUUCAGGGGGAGGGGUCUUCCACAGUCUCUCCUGCUCUCCUCAGAGUGUUCAGGCCCUACAGAGUGAGCAGAUUGCAGCCAAUCAGCUUCCCAGCAGAGCAAAUGCUACUUCGCACUGCCCAUUUUCUUGACUGCGGCUGCAGUGUAGCAGAUGCUGAUGGAGGAUGGACUCAAUGAUGGCUGUGUAGAAAGAAUUGUCUUUGGAAAGUUUAAAGAAGAACAUCUUCUGCUGGUGCGGACUUCUGCUUCCACCCGAAAUCUACAACCACUGUCUUCAGAGUGUUGAGCUCUAAUUGGCCUGACCUCUCCACCAGAGAAUGGAACAGUGAAUGUGGUGGUGUACGUGAACUUCAGGAGCUUGAGGGACCGCUGACUGUGGGGGCAGCUGUGUUGUACGGGGAGAAGAGCCAAAGGAAAGAAAACUCCUCAAGGGAACCGUGCUGGUUGUCAGAGUCAGAGACCUGUUUCCCUGGCUCUACUUCAGGUCCAGAUACACUUCUUCUCUUAUAGAUGCAUCAACAAAAAAGAAGCCUGAUGUCACUGCAAUUUGUCAAGCUCAUCUGAGGCUUUUCAAAGUGAUCAAAUAAAUGCUUUAACAAGAUGGAGUCCAAACCCUGGUGGUGGUGGUGGUGGUGAUGAAGGUGAUAAAGAGGUUCCUGCAGUGGGGCUGAGGAGCAGACCCGGGGGCCCGAGUUUGACCCCGCUGCUGCAGGUGAUCCUGGGACAGCCACAUGAAGUUCCUGACUGAUACAGCACUCUGUGAUUUACUGGUCCAUAAUAUUUCAAAUGCACAUAGACUGAUAUUUGUCCUUUAGAGAUGUUUUUAUUGCAUUUCACUUCUCUUCGGGUGCUUUUAAUGUUUUUACUGUUUUACAUCACGUUUGUAGUAAUUUUAUGUGUCAUAUUUAUAUUUAACCUGGAGAGUUUUUCUUUAGAUUAUGAAAUUAUAAAACAUUCUCUCUCUGCUAAUAUAUUCGGUAGCAAUGGUUCAUGUCUACGGCGGUGGAUAAGUGCAAACACGUUUCAGCAGCCAAACAUUUGUUCUUCAUUUGCUUGUGUUUUGGCACAUUUGUGUUUUUAUAUCUGCAUUGUUUUUCCACUGCAUGUUUUUCCUAAUGUAAAUGUUUUGGGCUGUUUGUAACUUGUUUGCACCUGCCGGCCACCAUACAUUUCACUACUAAAUGAAGAUCUACACACAAACUAACUACCUUUGACAUGGUAAUCCAUCACAGUGUGAAUAUCAUGUCUGCUUUUAAUGAAGACAGUUGUAUUGUGUGCCACAGUGCAAUUAAACAUAACAACAAAAGUUUAUUAUAA